CUUGAUGUAGCAUGUACGCACCUGGGUGCAGACUCCGUAACGAGAUUGCUUGGACCUCCAAACUGGGAAAAACUAACCACAAAUUAGUUUUGCAUCAAGGACUAUUAAAUGGACAUACAUCACUUUUUGACAUUUGUCUCAUUCAAAAGCUAUAGCUCUGAAUGAGGCAUUUCUCUCACUCUGCAGGCUGAAAACAGAAUGCAAUAAUCACCUGAUUCUUCUUUCUUUUUCUUCCCACACCCCCUGUGGGGAGGACUCUGAUCUAACCAAUCAGUUUCCAAUCCUCAGGAAUGCUGGAAGAGUGCAU